GAUGAACGCUAGCGGCAGGCCUAAUACAUGCAAGUCGAACGGUGUCUUCGGACAUAGUGGCGCACGGGUGCGUAACACGUAUGCAACCUACCUUACAUUGGGGGAGUAGCCUUCCGAAAGGGAGAUUAAUACCGCAUAAGACAGUAGCUGGGCAUCCAGCAGCUGUUAAAGAUUUAUCGAUGUAAGCUGGGCAUGCGUCCAAUUAGCUAGUUGGUGAGGUAACGGCUCACCAAGGCUUUGAUUGGUAGGGGAACUGAGAGGUCAAUCCCCCACACUGGCACUGAGAUACGGGCCAGACUCCUACGGGGGGGCAGCAGUAGGGAAUAUUGGGCAAUGGACGCAAGUCUGACCCAGCCAUGCCGCGUGCAGGAUGAAGGCGUUAUGCGUUGUAAACUGCUUUUAUACAGGAAGAAACGACUCUUGCGAGAGGCAUUGACGGUACUGUAUGAAUAAGCACCGGCUAACUCCGUGCCAGCAGCC
rnacentral:rRNA from 1 species